AUCACUCAUCCAAGCCUUGUUUUUGAGAUCUGGACUCCAAGCCUGGAGUGUAAUUGAACGUGAAUAAUUGAAGCACUAUAUCUUUUGGAAUACGAGUGAGGCGUGAGUCGUGAACAGACUAGCGUAGUCUAGUUGCUCUUGAAAUUGUUUUGACUUUUGACUUGUACUCGCGCUAUUCCUCGA